rnacentral:rRNA from 1 species
UACGUAGGCAGCGAGCGUUGUUCGGAAUUACUGGGCGUAAAGAGUGUGUAGGCGGUGCUCUAAGUUCGGUGUGAAAUCUCCUGGCUCAACUGGGAGGGUGCGCCGGAAACUGGAGUGCUUGAGCGUGGGAGAGGAAAGCGGAAUUCCUGGUGUAGUGGUGAAAUGCGUAGAUAUCCGGAGGAACACCAAUGGCGAAGGCAGUGUCCUGGGAAGUACCUGACCGCUCAGGUGCGAAAGCUAGGGGAGCGAACAGG